AUUGAACGCUGGCGGCAUGCCUUACACAUGCAAGUCGAACGGCAGCACGGGAGCAAUCCUGGUGGCGAGUGGCGAACGGGUGAGUAAUAUAUCGGAACGUGCCCAGUCGUGGGGGAUAACGUAGCGAAAGCUACGCUAAUACCGCAUACGAUCUAUGGAUGAAAGCGGGGGAUCGCAAGACCUCGCGCGAUUGGAGCGGCCGAUAUCAGAUUAGGUAGUUGGUGAGGUAAAGGCUCACCAAGCCGACGAUCUGUAGCUGGUCUGAGAGGACGACCAGCCACACUGGGACUGAGACACGGCCCAGACUCCUACGGGAGGCAGCAGUGGGGAAUUUUGGACAAUGGGCGCAAGCCUGAUCCAGCAAUGCCGCGUGCAGGAUGAAGGCCUUCGGUUGUAACU
rnacentral:rRNA from 1 species